UACGGGGGGGGCAAGCGUUGUUCGGAAUUACUGGGCGUAAAGGGCUCGUAGGCGGCCAACUAAGUCAGACGUGAAAUCCCUCGGCUUAACCGGGGAACUGCGUCUGAUACUGGAUGGCUUGAGUUUGGGAGAGGGAUGCGGAAUUCCAGGUGUAGCGGUGAAAUGCGCAGAUAUCAGGAGGAACACCGAUGGCGAAGGCAGGUCUCUGGGCCACUACUGACGCUGAGAAGCGAAAGCAUGGGGAGCGAACAGG
rnacentral:rRNA from 1 species